rnacentral:lncRNA from 1 species
UGGAAUCUGAAGAGGGAGGCUGGCCUGAGUAGUCCUCAGGAGAAGGCAAUGGCCACAGGGCAUCCAGCUGCUUUCUGAGAUUGUGGGCCAGGGGUGUUUGGGUUCCCCUGCUUCAAUUCAAGGCCUGCAAGACAGCCAGCUCCAGAUACCAUUCAUGGGAACCGCUACUGUUUUCUUGACAAGAAGACAGCAGCAGGGAUGAGGGGUCUUCACUCUUUCAAAGGGAAGAAGUGUCAUGAGAAGCAAACUGGAAAGUAUGUGAACUGUGUUAGAGAGUGGUCAGAAAUUCUGGUAUGCUUUCCAUGAACACAGUAGUCUUUUAAGGAGCAACUACCAGAAAUAUGCUUCUCAAAAGAGCCAGCACUCGAAAAGCACAUUUGACUUGAUCGGAAGGAGAAGCUUCUUUUCUGAGUAGAAAGUUCAACAUAUUCUUCAUUGAAAGCAUGUUCUAAAUUCAAACAACUGGCUUUGGAACAUAUUUUUUUAAAUGAAGUCCAAUCUUGUGGAGAGUACUUACUAUAUAAUUGCUUCUCUGGAGUCAUUAUUGGCAAAGUAGCAUCUUAAUGUGUGAAUGAAAGAACGACGGCCUAUGGCAAAUGGAACUGGACAUUUCAAGAUAACUGGUGGGGCUACAGAGGGUCGACCCCUCACCCAGGGAUCUCACUUGCACCCCUCAUGCACAGGGCUGAGACCACACCUCUUCCAGAGAGCCACACUGUCAUCAGGCAUGAACACCACAUGACAAAGCGACCUACCUCACUUCUGCACAAAUAAACUUGCUUGAAUUCCAU